GGAGCUUGCUCCCUUAGGUCAGCGGCGGACGGGUGAGUAACACGUGGGUAACCUGCCUGUAAGACUGGGAUAACUCCGGGAAACCGGGGCUAAUACCGGAUGCUUGAUUGAACCGCAUGGUUCAAUCAUAAAAGGUGGCUUUUAGCUACCACUUACAGAUGGACCCGCGGCGCAUUAGCUAGUUGGUGAGGUAACGGCUCACCAAGGCGACGAUGCGUAGCCGACCUGAGAGGGUGAUCGGCCACACUGGGACUGAGACACGGCCCAGACUCCUACGGGAGGCAGCAGUAGGGAAUCUUCCGCAAUGGACGAAAGUCUGACGGAGCAACGCCGCGUGAGUGAUGAAGGUUUUCGGAUCGUAAAACUCUGUUGUUAGGGAAGAACAAGUACCGUUCGAAUAGGGCGGUACCUUGACGGUACCUAACCAGAAAGCCACGGCUAACUACGUGCCAGCAGCCGCGGUAAUACGUAGGUGGCAAGCGUUGUCCGGAAUUAUUGGGCGUAAAGCGCGCGCAGGCGGUUUCUUAAGUCUGAUGUGAAAGCCCCCGGCUCAACCGGGGAGGGUCAUUGGAAACUGGGGAACUUGAGUGCAGAAGAGGAGAGUGGAAUUCCACGUGUAGCGGUGAAAUGCGUAGAGAUGUGGAGGAACACCAGUGGCGAAGGCGACUCUCUGGUCUGUAACUGACGCUGAGGCGCGAAAGCGUGGGGAGCGAACAGGAUUAGAUACCCUGGUAGUCCACGCCGUAAACGAUGAGUGCUAAGUGUUAGAGGGUUUCCGCCCUUUAGUGCUGCAGCAAACGCAUUAAGCACUCCGCCUGGG
rnacentral:rRNA from 1 species